ACUCCUACGGGAGGCAGCAGUGGGGAAUAUUGCACAAUGGGGGAAAGCCCUCGAUGCAGCCAUGCCGCGUGUGUGAAGAAGGCCUUCGGGUUGUAAAGCACUUUCAGUAGGGAGGAAGGUAGUGUAGUUAACACCUGCAUUAUUUGACGUACCUACAGAAGAAGCACCGGCUAACUCCGUGCCAGCAGCCGCGGUAAUACGGAGGGUGCGAGCGUUAUCCGGAAUUAUUGGGUUUAAAGGGUCCGUAGCGGGCCGGUAGUCAGGGUGAAAGUCUGUAGCCAACUAUAGAACUGCCUUUGAUACUGCGUCUUGAGUCACGGNGAGUUGCCGGAAUAUGUGGUGUAGCGGUGAAAUGCAUAGAUAUCACAUAGAACACCGAUUGCGAAGGCAGGUGACUAACCGUGUACUGACGCUGAUGGACGAAAGCGUGGGGAGCGAACAGGAUUAGAUACCCUGGUAGGAUAGCG
rnacentral:rRNA from 1 species